UUUUAAUUGAUUAAAAUGUUUUUCUCCAUUCUCCACUGAUGUACUGGACAGAACAUCACUCAUGGCUCUGUCCCAUACAGCAGGGCCAACAUGAUUAAAUUCUUUUACAAGACUUCAUUUGCAUACCCUUCCUUACUUUCAUGUUGAAGAAAACAUAAGUACAAAAAAAAAACAGUUAAAUAACUAUCAAAAGUAUCGUAAAUAAAAAGUGGUGUAUGGCGUAUGAGUACUUUUUUGUGACUAUUCUUUUUUGUUUGGCAAAUGAAAAGCUCUUAUAAUCAGAAACUUGUUGAACGAAUUUGGAUCCGGCUAAGUGGAGAACAGACUGGGCUGAUUGGAAAGACUUUUUGACUAAGAACAAAAACUCCCUGCAAUAUGUUCCAUUUUGAAAGUCAUAACUUAUCAACACUAACCGAAUGACAUGAAUCCUUUGUUAUAUGCAUUGCUAGAAAACCUUUAGUCUUUGAAGAAUUUUCCUUAAAUUUACAAGUUCCGAAUUGUAGACUCCUGAAAAACAAAACAAGAACGAAAAUUUGGCAAAAAAAGAAGUUAAUCAUGCAACAAGAAAUAGGCAAGGAUUACACACGUGAGUUUUCCUUACGACUUACAUAAAUUUUACUUACCUGGAAGAGAUGCUCUAACGGACUCAGAGUUAAAAAUUAGACUGCAAUCAUCAUCAUUUAAUUACCGAAAUUUAUAUCAGUCCGGUUGGAGAGCACAUUACCAAGACCAGAAGGUGGUGGAUUAUCAUACAUAUAACCAUAAACUGGAG